rnacentral:rRNA from 1 species
CCUACGGGUGGCUGCAGUGAGGAAUAUUGGUCAAUGGACGGAAGUCUGAACCAGCCAUGCCGCGUGCAGGAAGACGGCUCUAUGAGUUGUAAACUGCUUUUGUACAAGGGUAAACCUGAAUACGUGUAUUCAGCUGAAAGUACUGUACGAAUAAGGAUCGGCUAACUCCGUGCCAGCAGCCGCGGUAAUACGGAGGAUGCGAGCGUUAUCCGGAUUUAUUGGGUUUAAAGGGUGCGUAGGCGGGUUAUCAAGUCAGCUGUAAAAUCGUGGAGCUCAACUCCAUCCAGCCGUUGAAACUGAUGAUCUUGAGUGGGCGUGAAGUAUGCGGAAUGCGUGGUGUAGCGGUGAAAUGCAUAGAUAUCACGCAGAACUCCGAUUGCGAAGGCAGCAUACCGGCGCCCGACUGACGCUGAAGCACGAAAGCGUGGGUAUCGAACAGGAUUAGAUACCCGGGUAGUC